rnacentral:rRNA from 1 species
AUUGAACGCUGGCGGCAGGCCUAACACAUGCAAGUCGAACGAGUGGCGGACGGGUGAGUAAUGCCUGGGAAACUGCCCGAUGGCGGGGGAUAACUACUGGAAACGGUAGCUAAUACCGCAUACCAUCGGAUGUGCCCAGAUGGGAUUAGCUAGUAGGUGGGGUAAAGGCUCACCUAGGCGACGAUCCCUAGCUGGUCUGAGAGGAUGACCAGCCGCGCUGGAACUGAGACACGGUCGAGACUCCGACGGGAGGCAGCAGUGGGGAAUAUUGCACAAUGGGCGCAGGCCUGAUGCAGCCGUGCCGCGUGUAUGAAGAAGGCCUUCGGGUUGUAAAGUUCUUUCAGCGGGGAGGCGUUACCCACAGAAGAAGCACCGGCUAACUCCGUGCCAGCAGCCGCGGUAAUAC